rnacentral:misc_RNA from 1 species
GAUGAAGAACGUAGCGAAAUGCGAUAAGUAAUGUGAAUUGCAGAAUUCAGUGAAUCAUCGAAUCUUUGAACGCACAUUGCGCCCCUUGGUAUUCCGAGGGGCAUGCCUGUUCGAGCGUCAUUAUAACCCCUCAAGCUCAGCUUGGUGUUGGGGCCUGCUGCACUGGCAGCCCUUAAAAUCAGUGGCGGCGCCAUCUGGCUCUAAGCGUAGUAAUUCUUCUCGCUAUGGAGUCCUGGUGGAUGCUUGCCAUCAACCCCCAAUUUUUCUAUGGUUGACCUCGGAUCAGGUAGGGAUACCCGCUGAUCUUAAGCAUAUCAAUAAGCGGAGGA